GACGAACGCUGGCGGCGUGCUUAACACAUGCAAGUCGAGCGCAAACCAGGCCUUCGGGCCUGGGGAAAGUGGCGAACGGGUGAGUAACACGUGGGCAACCUGCCCCAGAGACCGGGACAACACUUCGAAAGGGGUGCUAAUACCGGAUGAAGUGCCACCUGCCAAGCGGGUGUCACCAAAUGGUAGCUUCGGCCUCCGCUCUGGGAUGGGCCCGCGCCGGAUUAGCUUGUUGGUGAGGUAACGGCUCACCAAGGCGACGAUCCGUAGCUGGUCGCAGAGGACGAUCAGCCACGCUGGGACUGAGACACGGCCCAGACUCCUACGGGAGGCAGCAGUGGGGAAUCUUGCGCAAUGGGCGAAAGCCUGACGCAGCAACGCCGCGUGAGCGAAGAAGACCUUCGGGUUGUAAAGCUCUGUCAGGAGGGACGAAGCCACUCGGGUGAAUAGCCCAGAGGGUGACGGUACCUCCAGAGGAAGCCCCGGCUAACUACGUGCCAGCAGCCGCGGUAAAAC
rnacentral:rRNA from 1 species